rnacentral:rRNA from 1 species
UACGAGGGGGGCGAGCGUUGUUCGGAUUUAUUGGGUUUAAAGGGUGCGUAGGCGGCCUAUUAAGUCAGGGGUGAAAGACGGUAGCUUAACUAUCGCAGUGCCUUUGAUACUGAUAGGCUUGAAUAUACUUGAGGUAGGCGGAAUGUGACAAGUAGCGGUGAAAUGCAUAGAUAUGUCACAGAACACCAAUUGCGAAGGCAGCUUACUAAAGUAUGAUUGACGCUGAGGCACGAAAGCGUGGGGAUCAAACAGG